GCGCGGAGUCGUAGUGUCGCACGAAAUGUCGGACCAUACUUUUCUCGGACCGACGUGGCUCGCUUGGUGCUACUAGCUUCGCAACUAGAGUCUCGAGUUUCGGCUCCAAAGGCCCAACAGCACCUCGGAUAACUACGCGUUCCGGUCCACGGAGUACGACGAACGAUUGAUAACGCUGGAAACGAGGCGAACGGACUACUCCACGCG
rnacentral:lncRNA from 1 species